UACGUAGGGUGCGAGCGUUGUCCGGAAUUAUUGGGCGUAAAGAGCUUGUAGGCGGUUUGUCGCGUCUGCCGUGAAAAUUCGAGGCUCAACCUCGAACUUGCGGUGGGUACGGGCAGACUAGAGUGUGGUAGGGGAGACUGGAAUUCCUGGUGUAGCGGUGAAAUGCGUAGAUAUCGGGAGGAAUACCAGUGGCGAAGGCGACUUUCUGGGAUAUUCCUGGACGCGUGAGGAGCGGAAAGCGUGGGGAGCAAACGGGG
rnacentral:rRNA from 1 species